rnacentral:rRNA from 1 species
CGCGUAGGCGGCUUUGUAAGUCUGGAGUGAAAGUCCUCUUUUCAAGGGAGGAAUUGCUUUGGAAACUAUAGAGCUUGAGUGCAGGAGAGGUUAUCGGGAAUUCCCGGUGUAGCGGUGAAAUGCGUAGAUAUCGGGAGGAACAUCGGUGGCGAAGGCGGGUAACUGGACUGCAACUGACGCUGAGGCGCGAAAGUGUGGGGAGCAAACAG